UGAGGAAUAUUGGUCAAUGGGCGUAAGCCUGAACCAGCCAAGCCGCGUGAGGGAGGAAGGCCCUAUGGGUCGUAAACCUCUUUUGUCAGGGAACAAAAGCGAGUAUGUAUACUAGUCUGAGUGUACCUGAAGAAAAAGCAUCGGCUAACUCCGUGCCAGCAGCCGCGGUAAUACGGAGGAUGCGAGCGUUAUCCGGAUUUAUUGGGUUUAAAGGGUGCGUAGGCGGCGGUGCAAGUCAGCGGUAAAAGCCCGGGGCUCAACCCCGGCGAGCCGUUGAAACUGCAGUGCUAGAGAAGGCGAGAGGUACGCGGAAUGCGCAGUGUAGCGGUGAAAUGCUUAGAUAUUGCGCAGAACUCCGAUUGCGAAGGCAGCGUACUGGCGCCUGACUGACGCUGAGGCACGAAAGCGUGGGGAUCGAACAGGAUUAGAUACC
rnacentral:rRNA from 1 species